CAAGUCUUGACAUCCCUCUGAAACCUCUAGAGAUAGAGGCGGCCUUCGGGACAGAGGUGACAGGUGGUGCAUGGUUGUCGUCAGCUCGUGUCGUGAGAUGUUGGGUUAAGUCCCGCAACGAGCGCAACCCUUGAUUUUAGUUGCCAGCACUUUGGGUGGGCACUCUAGAAUGACUGCCGGUGACAAACCGGAGGAAGGCGGGGAUGACGUCAAAUCAUCAUGCCCCUUAUGACUUGGGCUACACACGUACUACAAUGGCUGGUACAACGGGAAGCGAAGCCGCGAGGUGGAGCCAAUCCUAUAAAAGCCAGUCUCAGUUCGGAUUGCAGGCUGCAACUCGCCUGCAUGAAGUCGGAAUUGCUAGUAAUCGCGGAUCAGCAUGCCGCGGUGAAUACGUUCCC
rnacentral:rRNA from 1 species